GACGAACGCUGGCGGCGUGCUUAACACAUGCAAGUCGAACGGAAAGGCCCUGCUUGCAGGGUCCUCGAGUGGCGAACGGGUGAGUAACACGUGGGUGAUCUGCCCUGCACUUCGGGAUAAGCCUGGGAAACUGGGUCUAAUACCGGAUAGGAGCCAUUUUUAGUGUGAUGGUUGGAAAGUUUUUUCGGUGUAGGAUGAGCUCGCGGCCUAUCAGCUUGUUGGUGGGGUAAUGGCCUACCAAGGCGGCGACGGGUAGCCGGCCUGAGAGGGUGGACGGCCACAGUGGGACUGAGAUACGGCCCAGACUCCGACGGGAGGCAGCAGUGGGGAAUAUUGCACAAGGGGCGCAAGCCUGAUGCAGCGACGCCGCGUGGGGGAGGACGGCCUUCGGGUUGGAAACUCCUUUCGCUAGGGACGAAGCUUUUUGUGACGGUACCUAGAGAAGAAGCACCGGCUAACUACGUG
rnacentral:rRNA from 1 species